CAUUGAAACACUGGUUCCCAUACAAAUACUUAAAUUAAGCAAUGUUGAGCCUGGCCAGUACUUAAAUGGGUGACCACUUGAGAAUACCAGGCACUGUAAG